rnacentral:rRNA from 1 species
AGUGGCGGACGGGUGAGUAACGCGUGAGAAUCUGCCUUGGGGUCGGGGACAACCACUGGAAACGGUGGCUAAUACCGGAUAAGCCGAUUGGUGAAAGAUUUAUUGCCCGAAGAGGAGCUCGCGUCUGAUUAGCUAGUUGGUGAGGUAAGAGCUCACCAAGGCAGCGAUCAGUAGCUGGUCUGAGAGGACGAUCAGCCACACUGGGACUGAGACACGGCCCAGACUCCUACGGGAGGCAGCAGUGGGGAAUUUUCCGCAAUGGGCGAAAGCCUGACGGAGCAAGACCGCGUGAGGGAGGAAGGCUCUUGGGUUGUAAACCUCUUUUCUCACGGAAGAAGCUCUGACGGUACCUGAGGAAUCAGCCUCGGCUAACUCCGUGCCAGCAGCCGCGGUAAUACGGAGGAGGCAAGCGUUAUCCGGAAUUAUUGGGCGUAAAGCGUCCGCAGGUGGCGAUUCAAGUCUGCUGUCAAAGCACGGGGCUUAACUCCGUAAAGGCAGUGGAAACUGAAUAGCUAGAGUGCCGUAGGGGUAGAGGGAAUUCCCGGUGUAGCGGUGAAAUGCGUAGAGAUCGGGAAGAACAUCGGUGGCGAAAGCGCUCUACUGGACGGCAACUGACACUCAGGGACGAAAGCUAGGGGAGCGAAUGGGAUUAGAUACCCC